rnacentral:rRNA from 1 species
UACGGAGGGGGCAAGCGUUGUUCGGAAUUACUGGGCGUAAAGGGCGCGUAGGCGGCCUUCUAAGUCGAACGUGAAAUCCCUGGGCUCAACCCAGGAACUGCGUCCGAUACUGGAAGGCUUGAAUCCGGGAGAGGGAUGCGGAAUUCCAGGUGUAGCGGUGAAAUGCGUAGAUAUCUGGAGGAAUACCGGUGGCGAAGGCGGCAUCCUGGACCGGCAUUGACGCUGAGGAGCGAAAGCUAGGGGAGCAAACGGG